rfam:Daphnia pulex DAPPTscaffold_541_Cont9924, whole genome shotgun sequence.
GGUAGCGUGGCCGAGCGGUCCAAGGCGCUGGUUUAAGGCACCAGUCUCUUCGGGGGCAUGGGUUCGAAUCCCAUCGCUGCCA